CGAUCACUGCUCCGCAACACAUAUCCAUUCCAAUGGCCCUCAGAUUCGGUCAAAUACCUUGGAGUCCACCUCACUACCUCCCUAGACCGCACAUACGACAUCAAUUUUCCCCCUCUCCUUGCCAAGAUUGCGGCAGACCUUAAGGCCUGGAACAAGCCACAAUUCGGAUGGCUCUGCAGGACCCACAUCCUCAAAAUGAAUGUACUCCCCAAACUUCUCUACCUGCUACAAACCCUCCCCAUCAAAAUUCCUACCUCAUUCUUUGCACAAGCUAAGCGGACGUUUACAACAUUCAUAUGGGCCGACAACCCCCCCAGACUCCGAUAUGACUGCCUCACCAAAAGUAAACAGAGAGGGGGCCUAGGUCUCCCUGACCUGGAGGCGUACCACAAGGCUAUCACACUUACACGAAUUUACGAAUGGGCACAUCCCCACAACGACACACAAUGGGUAAAGAUUGAAGCCAGCUUCUUCUCAUCACCAAUACACCUGGCACCCUGGCUAGGAAAAAAGCCCAUCAUCACAACACACAACUCAGAGCUACACCCAACAAUCCCUCAUACCCUACGUACCUGGCACAACAUAAGGGGGGACCAACAUAUAGCUCCACACCCGUCUCCGUUCUACCCACUAACCGACAAUCCAGCCUUCCUGCCAGGCUCUAACCCAAUCGCUCUCAAAAGCUUUCCUAAACAAACCCACACACUCACCCUAGGAGAUGUUCGCAACGACAAAGGGAUCAUCCCACUUGAGGACCUCACCCCCAACGCCGAACCCUCUAGCAUGCUUAGGUUUAGAUACGCGCAAAUUACACACUUCCUACACUCGGACCC